rfam:Salmo salar isolate Sally breed double haploid chromosome ssa13, whole genome shotgun sequence.
UGGCUCAGUUGGUAGAGCAUGGUGCUUGCAACGCUAAGGUUGUGGGUAUAAUUCCCAC